CAACAGCUCAAAUUUGAAAUCUGGCUCUCUCAGGNUNCGAGUUGUAAUUUGUAGAAGAUGCUUUGGGUGUGGNUCCGGUCUAAGUUCCUNGGAACAGGACGUCAUAGAGGGUGAGAAUCCCGUACGUGACUGGGUGCCUUCGCUCGUGUAAAGCUCUUUCGACGAGUCGAGUUGUUUGGGAAUGCAGCUCAAAAUGGGUGGUAAAUUUCAUCUAAAGCUAAAUAUUGGCCAGAGACCGAUAGCGCACAAGUAGAGUGAUCGAAAGAUGAAAAGCACUUUGGAAAGAGAGCUAAACAGUACGUGAAAUUGUUGAAAGGGAAGCGCUUGCAACCAGACUUGCGCGCUGUUGAUCAUCCGAGCUUUUGCCCGGUGCACUCGGCAGCGCUCAGGCCAGCAUCGGUUUUGGUGGGCGGAUAAAGGCCUUGGGAAUGUAGCUCUCUUCGGGGAGUGUUAUAGCCCUCGGUGCAAUGCGCCCUACCGGGACCGAGGACCGCGCUUCGGCUAGGAUGCUGGCGUAA
rnacentral:rRNA from 1 species